CUUAGCUUUCUUGGGGCAUCUUUGGUUUAUCAGAAUGACUUACUUGUUUGUUUGUUCUGGAUGGUUUGCAGAAGGGCCUUUUGUAGACGUUCAUCUGCGUUGGGCACCAAAUAUUCCUUGACGGGCAGGGUACCUCAGUUUAUCGAGGUGACCGGCUUUGGGUAUAAACCCUACCUACUAUUGGCAGUUUCGCGUAACAAGGCCAAAGUCAUGGUUGACUUAGCCUUCUUAAGGCGUCUCCGGCAUCUUAGAGUGCGUUUUGUGGCCUCCUGAGAAUGAUGCUCUUCGUCAUGAGACUUGUCUUGCUUUCUUG
rnacentral:lncRNA from 1 species